rnacentral:misc_RNA from 1 species
GAUGAAGAACGUAGCGAAAUGCGAUAAGUAGUGUGAAUUGCAGAAUUCAGUGAAUCAUCGAAUCUUUGAACGCACAUUGCGCCCCUUGGUAUUCCAUGGGGCAUGCCUGUUCGAGCGUCAUUUGUACCUUCAAGCUUUGCUUGGUGUUGGGUGUUUGUCUCGCCUUUGCGUGUAGACUCGCCUUAAAAUAAUUGGCAGCCGGCGUAUUGAUUUCGGAGCGCAGUACAUCUCGCGCUUUGCACUCAUAACGACAGCGUCCAAAAGUACAUUUUACACUCUUGACCUCGGAUCAGGUAGGGAUACCCGCUGAACUUAAGCAUAUCAAUAAGCGAAGGA